rnacentral:tRNA from 1 species
GGGCGGAUGGCGAAAUUGGUAGACGCGCUAGUCUUAGGAACUAGUGGGGCGACUCAUGGAGGUUCAAGUCCUCUUCCGCCCACCA